rnacentral:rRNA from 1 species
GAUGAACGCUGGCGGCGUGCCUAAUACAUGCAAGUCGAGCGAACAGAUGAGGAGCUUGCUCCUCUGACGUUAGCGGCGGACGGGUGAGUAACACGUGGAUAACCUACCUAUAAGACUGGGAUAACUUCGGGAAACCGGAGCUAAUACCGGAUAAUAUAUUGAACCGCAUGGUUCAAUAGUGAAAGACGGUUUUGCUGUCACUUAUAGAUGGAUCCGCGCCGCAUUAGCUAGUUGGUAAGGUAACGGCUUACCAAGGCAACGAUGCGUAGCCGACCUGAGAGGGUGAUCCGCCACACUUGAACUGAGGCCCCGUCCAGACUCCCACGGGAGGCAGCAGUAGGGAAUCUUCCGGCAUGGGCGAAAGGCUGACGGAGCAACGCCGCGUGAGUGAAGAAGGUCUUCCGAUCGGAAAACUCUUUUAAUAGGGAAGAAAAAAUGUGUAAGUAACUAUUCACCUCUUGACGGUACCUAAUCAGAAAGCCACGGCUAACUACGUG